AACGAACGCUGGCGGCAUGCCUAACACAUGCAAGUCGAACGAGACCUUCGGGUCUAGUGGCGCACGGGUGCGUAACGCGUGGGAACCUGCCCUUAGGUUCGGAAUAACUCCCCGAAAGGGGUGCUAAUACCGGAUAAUGUCUUCGGACCAAAGAUUUAUCGCCUUUGGAUGGGCCCGCGUUGGAUUAGCUAGUUGGUAGGGUAAAAGCCUACCAAGGCGACGAUCCAUAGCUGGUCUGAGAGGAUGAUCAGCCACACUGGGACUGAGACACGGCCCAGACUCCUACGGGAGGCAGCAGUGGGGAAUAUUGGACAAUGGGCGAAAGCCUGAUCCAGCAAUGCCGCGUGAGUGAUGAAGGCCUUAGGGUUGUAAAGCUCUUUUACCCGGGAUGAUAAUGACAGUACCGGAAGAAUAAGCUCCGGCUAACUCCGUG
rnacentral:rRNA from 1 species